rnacentral:rRNA from 1 species
GCUACGGGGUGCAGCAGUGGGGAAUAUUGGGCAAUGGAGGCAACUCUGACCCAGCAACGCCGCGUGAAGGAAGAAGGCCUUAGGGGUGUAAACUUAUGUUGGAAAGGAAGAAAAGAAUGACGGUAGUUUACAAGAAAGCUCCGGCUAACUAUGUGCCAGCAGCCGCGGUAAGACAUCGGGGGCAAGAGUUGUUCGGAAUUACGGGGAGUAAAGGGAGCGUAGGCGGGAGAUGAAGUUAAGAGUGAAAGCCGUGGGCUCAACCCAAGAAAUGCUCUUCAUACUGGGUUUCUAGAGUGGGGGGGAGGUAAGUGGAAUUCCUAGUGUAGCGGUCGAAUGCGUAGAGAUUAGGAGGAUCCUCAGCGGCGAAGGCGGCUUACUGGACCGUAACUGACGCUGAGGCUCGAAAGCGUGGGGAGCAAACAGGAUUAGAUACCCCUGUAGUC